AGCAAGCAGUAUACGGCGAACUGCGAAUGGCUCAUUAUAUAAGUUAUCGUUUAUUUGAUAGCACCUUACUACUUGGAUAACCGUGGUAAUUCUAGAGCUAAUACAUGCUGAAAAUCCCGACUUCGGAAGGGAUGUAUUUAUUAGAUUAAAAACCAAUGCCCUCUGGGCUCCCUGGUGAUUCAUGAUAACUGCUCGAAUCGCAUGGCCUUGCGCCGGCGAUGGCUCAUUCAAAUUUCUUCCCUAUCAACUUUCGAUGUUUGGGUAGUGGCCAAACAUGGUGGCAACGGGUAACGGAGGGUUAGGGCUCGGCCCCGGAGAAGGAGCCUGAGAAACGGCUACUACAUCCAAGGAAGGCAGCAGGCGCGCAAAUUACCCAAUCCCGACACGGGGAGGUAGUGACAAUAAAUACUGAUACAGGGCUCUUUUGGGUCUUGUAAUUGGAAUGAGUACAAUUUAAAUCCCUUAACGAGGAACAAUUGGAGGGCAAGUCUGGUGAACGUUGCUGGCGCCAGAGAGAGCCGCCCCUCCGUAAACGAAGCGGCUAGUCGAGUGCUCGUGGCAGUAACGGGUGAGCACCGGCGAGACAACCUGGGUCGGGGGAGGCUAAGGGCCCCGGGCCUAUGCUAAUCCCGAGCAGAGCCGAUUUCCUACGGCCUGUGUAGAGCGCGCUAAGGUGUCGGUCCCGGGGCUCCCGCCAGCGGGAGUCCCCCGGGGCUUGAGGUACGUGCCAAUCCCCUGCGAAAGCAGGGCCCUGCGGAUUAGCACCCGUUAUGCGAAGCCGCAGGGGGCCUCCGAGCGAGGCAGUGAUCAUAUUGCUGUAAAUGGCCAGCAGCCGCGGUAAUUCCAGCUCCAAUAGCGUAUAUUAAAGUUGUUGUGGUUAAAAAGCUCGUAGUUGAACCUUGGGCCUGGCUGGCCGGUCCGCCUCACCGCGUGCACUGGUCCGGCCGGGCCUUUUCCCCUGUGGAACCCCAUGCCCUUCCCUGGGCGUGGCGGGGAAACAGGACUUUUACUUUG
rnacentral:rRNA from 1 species